rnacentral:rRNA from 1 species
AUGUUUUUGAAGCUGGGGGAUAUGUAUACAAUUAGUAUCUUUAUUACAAACACAAUGCUGGUCGUGGUCACAGCAGCAGGCGUCGAGGUCUUCAUGGUGCCACCGCUCUCCUUUCGCCUCUCCGCCAAGUUGAGAGACGGUGCGACGAGAGCAAACCUGUCACCGGCCUUUAAGUCCGUCCGCUUUCACGCCGCCACGGUGGUCAACCUCGCCCCGAGCAUCGACUUCUUCAGAUGCGCGAUGGCAGAUGCCUCGCUCUCCCUCGGAAACACCAUGAUGGACACAAUCGACCUUGCCCUGCCCGCCGGCAUGGUCGCCAUCACAAGCAUCACCUUCCCGUCUAGCCCGCGCUCGCCGACCGCCUCCCACAACCCGCUCAACAACUACCCGGCUCCUGCUUCCAUGAAAAUGCAAUAUAUUUCAUAG